ACAACUUUCAACAAUGGAUCUCUUGGCUCUUGCAUCGAUGAAGAACGCAGCGAAAUGCGAUAAGUAAUGUGAAUUGCAGAAUUCAGUGAAUCAUUGAAUAUUUGAACGCAUCUUGCACUCCUUGGUAUUCUGAGGAGUAUGCCUGUAUGAGUGUCAUUUA
rnacentral:rRNA from 1 species